rnacentral:rRNA from 1 species
UACGUAGGGGGCGAGCGUUGUCCGGAUUUACUGGGCGUAAAGAGCGCGCAGGCGGUCGGUCAAGUCGCGUGUGAAAGCCCCCGGCUCAACUGGGGAGGGUCACGCGAUACUGAUCGACUCGAAGGCAGGAGAGGGGAGUGGAAUUCCCGGUGUAGUGGUGAAAUGCGUAGAUAUCGGGAGGAACACCAGUGGCGAAGGCGACUACCUGGCCUGUUCUUGACGCUGAGGCGCGAAAGCGAGGGGAGCAAACGGG